rnacentral:rRNA from 1 species
UAACAGGAUUUAGAUACCCUGGUAGUCCACGCCGUAAACGAUGCUAACUCGUUUUUGGGCUUUUGGGUUCAGAGACUAAGCGAAAGUGAUAAGUUAGCCACCUGGGGAGUACGUUCGCAAGAAUGAAACUCAAAGGAAUUGACGGGGGCCCGCACAAGCGGUGGAUUAUGUGGUUUAAUUCGAUGAUACGCGAGGAACCUUACCAAGGCUUAAAUGGGAAAUGACAGGCUUAGAAAUAGGCUUUUCUUCGGACAUUUUUCAAGGUGCUGCAUGGUUGUCGUCAGCUCGUGCCGUGAGGUGUUAGGUUAAGUCCUGCAACGAGCGCAACCCCUGUCACUAGUUGCCAUCAUUCAGUUGGGGACUCUAGUGAGACUGCCUACGCAAGUAGAGAGGAAGGUGGGGAUGACGUCAAAUCAUCACGGCCCUUACGCCUUGGGCCACACACGUAAUACAAUGGCCGGUACAGAGGGCAGCUACACAGCGAUGUGAUGCAAAUCUCGAAAGCCGGUCUCAGUUCGGAUUGGAGUCUGCAACUCGACUCUAUGAAGCUGGAAUCGCUAGUAAUCGCAUCAGCCAUGGCGCGGUGAAUACGUUCCCGGGCCUUGUCACACCGCCCGUCAAGCCAUGGAAGUCUGGGGUACCUGAAGUCGGUGACCGUAACAGGAAGC